UAACAAAUUGCUUUUGCAACACUCCAAAGACGUCUUUGCUUGGAGAUCCGCGAUAAGGAAACGGUUAAGCUGGGCAGCGUGAGUCUGUGUUAAAACGGUUAUAGCACUGGAUACGAACUAAACAAACGCUUUCCCAGAUAUCAUCCGACUUCUCAGCUGGAAGUGUGAAGUAAAAAAAAAAAAGACAACUUCACUUUUUCUGCCAAACACCGUUAGAGCUAACUUGUUACCUCUAACGGUUAACGGCCACUAGUUUAGCUCUAACGGCUACUAGGCUACGGUUUAAGUUAAUCUUGUUCUCCGCUCAGUUGAAGUUGCCCCACGGGUCUGGACUGAGAGCCACCAUAUUAUUGUCCCUAACGCGUCGCAUUGAGAUCGGUCAGUUUUUUUUUAUUUAUGCUGGAUUGUUCCUGAGGUGGAUUCCUCCUGUGACUUCGAUGGCGAGCCUUCCCACCUGGAUUCAGAAAGAACUGKAUUCAUUCUUUUCCAUUUGGAGUCCUGCUGCACCCAACGGUGUGGUAGGCCUGUAUCACUCACAUCUUCACACACAGUUGGUUAUGAGUGAGACCACUGACUGACAUUUUUCAUUCUUAUUGUUUAAUCUUGGAAUUUCUGACCUUACCUUUUGGACCAGUUUUUAUUUUGGAACUUUAUAAACGAACUGCUGUGUAGGAAAUUCUCCUCAUGUGAAYGGUGUUGAGUUAAACUUAAUUGGAACUGAAAUUGAUUAAUCUGUUGCCUGUUACUAUUUAGAAUUCAGAUUACCAGGGUGCACCCAAACGAUUUAAAACUGAGAACUAGCACUUGGCCACGUAUUUUUAUUAUUUCUUGUAUUUCACUUUGUGUAGUUUUAUUUUCAUAAUUGUGAGAUUGUGUGUCUUGUAUAACUGUUUGUCAAUUCAUGGUUUGUGUCACUAAAGCCAGUUCUUUAAAUUCA